CUUUCAGGCUGCUGUGCUUCUGCUGUUCAACACAACAGACAAAUUGAGCUACAACGAUAUCCUAACUCAACUGAACCUGAGCCAUGAAGAUCUAGUGAGGUUGCUUCAUUCCUUGUCAUGCGCUAGAUACAAGAUCCUUACCAAGGAGCCAAGCACAAAAACUGUUUCCCAGACUGAUUCAUUUGAAUUCAAUGCCAAAUUCACCGACAGAAUGCGCAGAAUAAAGGUCUGUAAAACAUUAACACACAAAACUUCAUGUGUUACUACUACUGGUUAUUAUCUUAGAUUAUAAACUUUUAUGUGGUUUUGCAUCACAGAUCCCUCUCCCACCUGUCGAUGAAAGGAAGAAAGUAGUGGAAGACGUGGACAAAGACAGACGCUAUGCGAUUGAUGCUGCGAUCGUGAGGAUCAUGAAGAGCAGGAAAGUGUUGGGACAUCAACAGCUUGUAUCUCUCUCCUCGUGGAGUUGACGUGUCGAUUCAGCAACAAGGACUCGCUGAGGCGUAUCCAUAUUUGACGUAUCCAUCAUGGCUUCACGAUGAAUCGUCUCGAAAACAGUUGGUUCGCGCUCUCGCGGUCACUCGACUCGAUCUCUCACGGUCACUCGGCGCAGAUAGUUCUCGCGCAUUCACUUGGCUCGAUCUCUCGCGGUCACUCCCUCGCUCUCCUUACUCGGCGCAGAACGAUCUCUCGCAGUCGCUCAGAUCUCUCUCUCCUCGCGGAGUUGACGUGUCGUUCUGUCGUCACCCGAUCGACGAGUCGUCACUCGACCGACGAGUUCUCACUCGACCUUCGAGUCGUCACUCGACCGACGAGCCGUCACUCGACCGAUGAGCCGUCACUCGACCGAUGGGUCGUUACUCGACCGUUUUGUCGUCACUCGACCGUUCUGUCGUCACUCGAUCGAUGAGUCGUCACUCGACCGACGAGUCCUCACUCGACCGACGAGUCGUCACUCGACCGACGAGUCGUCACUCGACCAACGAGCCCUCACUCGACCGACGAGUCCUCACUCAACCGUUUUGUCGUCACUCGACCGUUCUGUCGUCACUCUUCUACUAUCUUGACCGUUACUUCAUUGCUCGGAGAUCACUUCCACCGCUGAAUGAAGUUGGCCUGACUUGCUUCCGUGACCGGGUUUGGCGCUCGUUCUUGUUAUGUAUGGCUUUACAUGGCGUCAAUGAUAUUUUAACUCUUGAUUGAUUUUGUUAUUUCAGGUUUAUAACGAGUUGCAUUCCAAGGUCAAAGAUGCUGUAAUAGCACUUGUAAGUGUGGCGUGUAUAAUGUACAUUUAGUUCCAACUCUUGCUUUUACCUUAUUCAAGGUCUAACAUGAGCUGUUUCUAUGUCAGGUUGAUAAAGAACGGGAGGGCGAGCAGAUUGACAGGGCUCUUCUGAAAAACGUAUUGGACAUCUAUGUAGAGAUUGGAAUGGGACAGAUGGAAAGAUACGAAGUGGAUUUUGAAAGCUUCAUGCUUUUGGAUUCAGCUUCUUACUAUUCUCGCAAAGCAUCAAGCUGGAUCCAGGAAGAUUCUUGCCCUGAUUACAUGCUGAAGGUAUGAAUACUUAUAUUAUUUUCUAGAUUGCGUUGUCAUUCCAAAUUAGUAAAAUGCAUAUGUUAACUAGUCUGAUGUAUCCUUGUUAAAUCUCAUGUUGCAGUCUGAAGAAUGUCUGAAGAAGGAGAGGGAGAGAGUGGCUCACUACCUUCAUUCAAGCAGCGAGCCAAAGCUGGUUGAGGUUAGUUAUGAUGAUACCUCAUGCACGACACUUUGACUUUAUGCAUAGCAUUCAUUAUGCGUGUACUUACAGAAGCCAUGAUUUUGCAUUUUUAUUCAUAGAGACAUGCUUUUUAGACCCUGCUUCUGCAGAAAAGUAUAUAUUAAUUUUGAUUGAUAUCUAUUUGACUUCUAUAUUAAUCUGUUGGAUGCAGAAAGUACAACAUGAGCUGUUGGUUGUGUAUGCAAAUCAGCUUCUAGAAAAAGAGCACUCAGGGUGCCGUGCAUUGCUGAGAGAUGACAAGGUGGAGCAACUUACUCUUUGUUUCAUUGUUAAUUAUUUUGUCUUUCUAUUUCUGUCUUUGAUGGAGUAUCUGUGUGCUUUCAGGUUGAUGAUCUCUCCCGGAUGUACAGGCUUUAUCAUAAAAUUGCUAAAGGUUUAGAACCUGUUGCAAACAUAUUCAAGCAGGUUGCUUACCUAUCUUUAUUAUUAUGGUUUAGAUUGGCGAAGUCAUUUCUUCCUUGUGUACUUUUACUCUGUUAAAUACUGUUCUGCAUUAACUCCAUCGUGUAAUUUGUAUAUAGCAUGUCACAGCCGAGGGUAACGCACUCGUCCAACAGGCGGAAGACACGGCCACUAAUCAGGUUCAUAUUUUUUGUAUUUUUUACUCAGAAAUCUUUUCCGCGCUUUGCCUGUGAUCGCUAAAAUUUGUUUUUUACUCCACAGGCUGCAAAUAUUGCUAGCGUGCAGGAACAGGUAAAAACAGUGUCAAUGUUUUUACUAGUGAAGAUGUUGUCGAACUUAGUAAUUCACGUUUUCUUUCUAUGCUUUCAGGUUCUCAUCAGAAAAGUGAUUGAGCUACAUGAUAAAUACAUGGUCUAUGUCGUUGAGUGCUUCCAGAGCCACACCCUCUUCCACAAGGUUUAAUGUGCUUCCUGCAUACUAGUCAUGCAUAUAUCUUAUUGCAUGCGUGUAUUUGUUUGUAUUAACUUAAAUUUCUUCUAUUGUAGGCUCUGAAAGAGGCAUUUGAGAUAUUCUGUAACAAAACGGUCGCUGGAAGUUCAAGUGCAGAAUUGCUUGCAACAUUCUGCGACAACAUCCUCAAGAAGGGGGGUAGUGAGAAGCUGAGUGAUGAAGCUAUUGAAGACACGCUUGAGAAGGUUUGUAUUUUGUCAAGUUGCUUGCUAUAUUCAUUUUCAGUUUCUCCUUAAACCGGUGUUUAAUCUUAUUAUGUUGUUACAGGUGGUCAAAUUGCUUGCCUAUAUAAGCGACAAAGAUCUGUUUGCCGAGUUCUACAGGUUCAUCUCUCAUUCUGAGAUUUCUUAUAUACCUUGGAUUCUAAUAUUUUUGUGCUUAUAGAUGGUUUGUUGAUUCUAGCUCUUUGUUAAGGUCCCUUCCAAUAAUAUAGUAUGGAAUUACCAAGAUUGGGAUAACAAAUUGUAUGCGGUUUUGUUUUUGGCUGUUUUUCAGGAAGAAGCUGGCACGCAGGCUCUUAUUUGAUCGCAGUGCUAAUGAUGAUCAUGAGAGAAGUAUUCUUACAAAGCUCAAGCAGCAGUGUGGUGGGCAGUUUACUUCUAAGAUGGAGGGCAUGGUUAGUUUGCGUGUCCCUAUGUUUAUUGUCUCAGAACGGUGGUUUUUCUGAUGAUUUAUACUUUUUUUAAAUUUGAUAUGUUUUGUUACAGGUGACAGAUCUUACACUAGCCAGAGAAAACCAAACCAGUUUCGAGGAAUAUCUAGGCAAUAACCCCGCUGCAAACCCAGGAAUUGAUUUGACCGUGACUGUUCUUACAACUGGUUUCUGGCCAAGCUACAAAUCUUUCGACAUAAAUCUUCCCAGUGAAAUGGUAAGUAUCUGUUGAAUGUAUGUCUAAAAGGAGAAACGUUUGCUCCAGGUGAAGCUAAUCCCAUCGAUUUCUUUGUUUCAGGUCAAGUGUGUUGAAGUUUUCAAAGGGUUUUAUGAAACUAAAACGAAACACAGGAAACUUACAUGGAUCUAUUCACUAGGAACCUGUCACCUCAACGGCAAGUUUGAUCACAAGCCCAUUGAGUUAGUUGUGUCGACUUACCAGGUAUCAUUUGUAUUCUCAGAAACUGUUUGUAUAUUGGAUCCUUUAGAUGGCCUCUGAUGCUGAUUUUCUAAUUUUUAUUUACUUUCAGGCUGCUGUGCUUCUGCUGUUCAACACAACAGACAAAUUGAGCUACAACGAUAUCCUAACUCAACUGAACCUGAGCCAUGAAGAUCUAGUGAGGUUGCUUCAUUCCUUGUCAUGCGCUAGAUACAAGAUCCUUACCAAGGAGCCAAGCACAAAAACUGUUUCCCAGACUGAUUCAUUUGAAUUCAAUGCCAAAUUCACCGACAGAAUGCGCAGAAUAAAG
rnacentral:lncRNA from 1 species